rnacentral:tRNA from 1 species
CAAAGGGUGCCUGAAUAAAGGAAUAUUUUGAUAGAAUAUUUUAUGAAAAAAAGAUUUUUCUCCUUUGA